rnacentral:rRNA from 1 species
GCAUAUCAAUAAGCGGAGGAAAAGAAACCAACAGGGAUUGCCUCAGUAACGGCGAGUGAAGCGGCAAAAGCUCAAAUUUGAAAUCUGGCUCUUUCAGGGUCCGAGUUGUAAUUUGUAGAAGAUGUUUCGGGUGUGGUCCCAGUCUAAGUUCCCUGGAACUGGACAUCACAGAGGGUGAGAAUCCCGUAUGUGACUGGGUACCUACGUCCAUGUGAAACUCUUUCGACGAGUCGAGUUGUUUGGGAAUGCAGCUCAAAAUGGGUGGUAAAUUUCAUCUAAAGCUAAAUAUUGGCCAGAGACCGAUAGCGCACAAGUAGAGUGAUCGAAAGAUGAAAAGCACUUUGGAAAGAGAGUUAAACAGUACGUGAAAUUGUUGAAAGGGAAGGGCAUGCAAUCAGACUUGCGCCUAGUUGAUCAUCCGGGCUUUUGCCCGGUGCACUCGAUUAGGCUCAGGCCAGCAUCAGUUUAGAGGGUUGGAUAAAGGCCUUGGGAAUGUGACCCCUCUCGGGGGGUGUUAUAGCCCAAGGUGCAAUGCAGCCUCUCUGGACUGAGGACCGCGCUUCGGCUAGGAUGCUGGCGUAAUGGUUGUAUGCCGCCCGUCUUGAAACACGGACCAAGGAGUCUAACAUCUAUGCGAGUAUUUGGGUGUAAAACCCAUAUGCGUAAUGAAAGUGAACGGAGGUGAGAGCCCUUAAGGGUGCAUCAUCGACCGAUCCUGAUGUCUUCGGAUGGAUUUGAGUAAGAGCAUAGCUGUUGGGACCCGAAAGAUGGUGAACUAUGCGUGAAUAGGGUGAAGCCAGAGGAAACUCUGGUGGAGGCUCGCAGCGGUUCUGACGUGCAAAUCGAUCGUCAAAUUUGCGUAUAGGGGCGAAAGACUAAUCGAACCAUCUAGUAGCUGGUUCCUGCCGAAG